rnacentral:lncRNA from 1 species
GUUUCUUCAUAUAUCAGAGUAUAGGAUAUAUUGUAUUCUACUUGUUGAAGUUGUAAUCUUUUAAAGUUAUAUUCUGAGUUUAACUUGAAAAACGAACACGUAAUCAAUCAGACCAGUUGCUUUGGUUUAUAACUUGGGUGUAAGGGGCAUUUAUGAAUGUAACUAUCAGUGUAAGCAUACAAUGGAAUUACGACACCUUUGGUAGAAAGAUGAAGGCUGUUGGAGCAAGUGAUCAUGGAGUGAGAUUGAAGCCAACUCUUAACUUACUAACAAAAACAAAUGUCAAUUUCAUAUUUACCAAAAGAUCAUCAUCAGUUAUGGAGUGGUUGGAGAUGAAGUGAUGAUGAUAGUGAUGGUUUCCGGUGACCGAACGACCGGAAUGAAAGCAGUGGUGAUGGUCGAUAGUGGUGGUUGCGGUUCAAGUUGGUGACGGUGAUGGUCGAUAGUGGUUUUUUUAAUUAAUAUUUUGAGGAUUGUUGGAAGGAGGUUUGUUAAGGUGAGUUCUAUUGGAGUGACCUAUGGUUGAGGUGUUUUGUGAGUUUGGGAGGGAAUUCAUUCCCAAAGCUCAAUACAUAAAUAAACAUACAUUGGACGCGGAAUCCGUUUUGAUGUCGGGUUAUCUUAUACCCGUUCAUUCGGAUCUAUAUAAAAGGCACUACCCAGUAAUUCAGACCACUUUCUUUCCUGUUCCCUCUAAACCCUGGCCGACAACUUCAUCGUAUUCUUUGUUCUUCUUUGCUAAUCUGCCCUCUCAAUUCGAAGAUGAAGAUGAGCAUCAGUCUUGAUGUAAACUCCAUGGCGUCCAGGCUAACAAGAGAUCUGGGCACUCCAAAUAAGUGAGACAGGCAAGAGUAAGACAGCCGCAAAUAUCUUUUUUCGUGCUCACAUGAAUUGGAACCUUUAGUUAUGUUUUUGGAUGAUAUUAUUUUUUUGUUUAAUUUUAUAGUUCAUUUUUAGUUUUGUAAAUCAUGAAGAAUAAGAGCCUUUUAACAGCUGCUUAAUAACCCAUUUUCUCAAGUGUUGUUGGUGCUGGUAUAUUUGCUUUAAGAAGUAUUGGUUAGAAAUUGGAAGGAUAUAUGCUCGGUUCUGAAAGACGCUGUCAAAGUUGGAGUAGGUGGGGAAGAAAAGUUGGGGGACAAAGCGCGGAUGGAGAGGGAAAAAAAUUCUUAGUCACUCAGUUUAUAAAUGAGGCGGCAAAUCGGAUCCGGAACAAGGUGGCGGCUGAAGAUUUUAGAUGGAACCUAUGAGUUCUAAAAGAGGUCCUUUUCUUUAUCUGGAAGCUCGUGCAGGGCUGCAUCGCUGAAAAAAUUGUGCUUCUGCAGCGUGGGGUUUCUAUUAUGUUAACGAGAGUUUUGCCUAUUGAGGAGAGACUCGGAACUUUGGAAGUGAUGGGUUCAAAAGCAUCUCAGCUCAUAUAAAAGAUAUUACAUCCAGUUAUGAAGCAGUUUGCUCCAGAAGAUGGUUUGGUUUCUUUGAUGGUUUGCUCUAGAUCUUGUGAUAACGAGUUUAAUUUGUUACAUCCUAUGGAUAUUGUUGGCAAAACGAAAGAGCAUACUUCUCUCCUGAAAGGGUCACCGUGGUUUCCAUAUGCACCCAAUAACAAAUUCAAUUUGGCAGGUGGCAGGAUACUGAGUUUCCUGUGACAUAAAGAGACCGUCUAGGUCUUCGAAGAAGAGCAAAACAAUUUACUUAAACAUAUGGAGAAAAGAGACACGAAAUAUAUGCGCCUUCAGAGGCAUAAAAUGGGUGCCGAUGAUUUUGAGCCAUUAACAAUGAUAGGAAAAAGGUCCAUUUGGAGAGGUUAGAAUAUGUAGGGAGAAGACUACCGGCAAUGUGUAUGCAAUGAAAAAACUUAAAAA